rnacentral:rRNA from 1 species
UACGUAGGGGGCGAGCGUUGUCCGGAUUUAUUGGGCGUAAAGAGCGUGUAGGCGGCCAGAUAGGUCUGCUGUGAAAACUCGAGGCUCAACCUCGAGCUGUCGGCGGAAACCAUCCGGCUAGAGUCCGGAAGAGGAGAGUGGAAUUCCCGGUGUAGCGGUGAAAUGCGCAGAUAUCGGGAAGAACACCUGUGGCGAAGGCGGCUCUCUGGGACGGUACUGACGCUGAGACGCGAAAGCGUGGGGAGCAAACAGG